rnacentral:lncRNA from 1 species
GCCAUUUCCAUGCAGAACAUGCAGAAUAAGGUCCCAUUUUUCUGCUUCUGACUGAGGAGGGAGACGCAAAUUCUCUUUAACUUCUUUGUAAUUUGUUCAUUCAGACAAAUUCUAGGAAGAAUCUUGAUUCAAGAUGGAAAGUGGACUGAACAGAGAUAAAGGAAAUCUCCAAAAGGCUAUCAGGAUACCCAGGUUAACGGGAAUGUGUGACAAGCUAUGGAUGUCAAAACCACAAGAAGUGACUACUGCAAGAAUUAAUUACCACUCAGAUUGAUCUCCUGGUUAUGAAUAAAAUACAACUCUCCAGAAGCCCCAUUUAAGAGUUUGUGUCCAUGGUGGCUGGCAAGAUGGCGUUGAUAAAAUCCCUCCACUCCACCUGCCCACUAGCCACCAAUGAAACUCUCCACCAGUCAUAUUCUUCUCAAGUUACUAGCUUCAUUGAGUGCCC